GACGAACCGUGCAAACGUUGUUCGGAAUCACUGGGCUUAAAGGGCGCGUAGGCGGGCCCCCAAGUCCGGGGUGAAAUCCUCCAGCUCAACUGGAGAACAGCCUUGGAUACUGGGGGCCUCGAGUGAGGUAGGGGCGUGCGGAACUGUGGGUGGAGCGGUGAAAUGCGUAGAUAUCCACAGGAACUCCGGUGGCGAAAGCGGCGCGCUGGACCUUAACUGACGCUGAGGCGCGAAAGCCAGGGGAGCAAACGGG
rnacentral:rRNA from 1 species